rnacentral:SRP_RNA from 1 species
UAUAUGGCUAGACUGGAGGGUUAGGGGUCCUCUGUAAGCACACACCCCCUUUGGUGCAGUUGAAGUUCAAAAGGCGGCUUUUUAAAAAGAUUUAAGCCUAAAAAUGCAACAUGGAAGCUACGCCCUAUAGGAUUAAUGGCGAUAAAGGUUUUACUGGAGGGUAAAAUUUAAUUAUCUUUAUUUUAGGAAUGUGUCAGGCCCGGAAGGGAGCAGCUCUACUAUUAACACUUAAUGCUUGUAGACCAACGGAGUGGAGUUGUUUUUUUUAGAUCACUUUUAUUUUGGAGAUUAGUCCACUUUUGAACAUGCCUUUUU